GCGCGAGGCCCGCCGCCCUGCUUCUGACGUCACGCUUCUUGCAACAGGCAGCUGGGAAGAUCCCAGGCGAAAGGCGAUGGAUUGCUCGAGGGCAAAGGAAAGGAGCCUUACUCUGAAGAGUCUUCAAAAAUCUGAUUCUCCUGCUAUUUAUUCUGCUUUAAAAAUUCAAGGACAGAAUUCCAUGCUAGCUGUUAACCAGUCCCAUGUACUUUUCACAACCAGCAUGUAAGAUUGGCAGAUCACAGAGGAAGGCAUGUUUCAUCUUGCCCCUUUCUGGCAACGGUUUUUAGGAGGCAAGAGAAGAUGUAAUGACCUUGAAUGAAAGCUAAUCAAACAAAGAAAUACUUUGAUCAUUCUAGCCAAAGCGUCAUCUUAUGAUUCUCCGGAAAACAAAGCCAUCAUUUCCUGAUUCUUCUUUUUUAUUUCAUGCAAACAUUUAAUUUGUAUUCCACGUUUAAAAAAAAAUAGAGGAGAGUAGCUUCUUACCAAUUUUUGGUACUUAGAAUUACAUAACAAUUGGUGAAGAAAUUCACAAGGGAUCCCGCAAUGGGAGAAAAAUGCUUGCGAUGCCCCAACUUUGGGGAAAACCUUUUGGGCAAGUCAGAUCAUUCCGAACUUCAGCAAGUCUGCCCCACAGAUAAACUGUAUAAGUGCCUGGAAUGUGGGAAAUGUUUCACUCACAGUAAGAACUUCAGCACCCAUCAAAGGAUCCACACUGGCGAGAAACCUUACAAAUGCCCUGAAUGUGGCAAAAGCCACUGGACAAAAAAUGGAAAACACUUCCAAGGAGAAAAAUCCAGGACAGAUACAACUACACGGAAAAGUGGGAGGAAUACCCCAAAAGAUUAAUUCC
rnacentral:lncRNA from 1 species